CGAAAGCUAGGGGAGCGAAUGGGAUUAGAUACCCCAGUAGUCCUAGCCGUAAACGAUGGGUACUAGGUGUUGGGAGUAUCGACCCUCUCAGUGCCGUAGCUAACGCGUUAAGUACCCCGCCUGGGGAGUACGGUCGCAAGAUUGAAACUCAAAGGAAUUGACGGGGGCCCGCACAAGCGGUGGAGUAUGUGGUUUAAUUCGAUGCAACGCGAAGAACCUUACCAAGACUUGACAUCCUAUGAAUCCCGCUGAAAGGUGGGAGUGCCUUCGGGAGCAUAGAGACAGGUGGUGCAUGGCUGUCGUCAGCUCGUGUCGUGAGAUGUUGGGUUAAGUCCCGCAACGAGCGCAACCCUCAUUUUUAGUUGCCAUCAUUAAGUUGGGCACUCUAGAGAGACCGCCGGUGACAAACCGGAGGAAGGUGGGGAUGACGUCAAGUCAGCAUGCCCCUUACGUCUUGGGCUACACACGUACUACAAUGGCUGGGACAAAGAGUCGCAAGUAUGCGAAUACAAGCUAAUCUCGUAAACCCAGUCUUAGUUCAGAUCGUAGGCUGCAACUCGCCUACGUGAAGGCGGAAUCGCUAGUAAUCGCAGAUCAGAAUGCUGCGGUGAAUACGUUCCCGGGCCUUGUACACACCGCCCGUCACACCAUGGAAGUUGGUCACGCCCGAAGUCGUUAUUCUAACCGCAAGGAAGAAGGCGCCUAAGGCAGGGCUGAUGACUGGGGUGAAGUCGUAACAAGGUAACC
rnacentral:rRNA from 1 species